UACGUAGGGUGCAAGCGUUAAUCGGAAUUACUGGGCGUAAAGCGUGCGCAGGCGGUUAUGUAAGACAGGUGUGAAAUCCCCGGGCUUAACCUGGGAACUGCAUUUGUGACUGUAUAGCUAGAGUACGGUAGAGGGGGAUGGAAUUCCGCGUGUAGCAGUGAAAUGCGUAGAUAUGCGGAGGAACACCGAUGGCGAAGGCAAUCCCCUGGACCUGUACUGACGCUCAUGCACGAAAGCGUGGGGAGCAAACAGG
rnacentral:rRNA from 1 species